UACGUAGGGUGCAAGCGUUGUCCGGAAUUAUUGGGCGUAAAGAGCUCGUAGGCGGUCUGUCGCGUCGGCUGUGAAAUCCCGGAGCUCAACUCCGGGUCUGCAGUCGAUACGGGCAAACUGGAGUACUGCAGGGGAGACUGGAAUUCCUGGUGUAGCGGUGAAAUGCGCAGAUAUCAGGAGGAACACCGGUGGCGAAGGCGGGUCUCUGGGCAGUAACUGACGCUGAGGGGCGAAAGCGUGGGGAGCGAACAGG
rnacentral:rRNA from 1 species